GACGAACGCUGGCGGCGUGCUUAACACAUGCAAGUCGAACGGAAAGGCCCUGCUUUUCUUGGGUGCUCGAGUGGCGAACGGGUGAGUAACACGUGGGUAAUCUGCCCUUCACUUUGGGAUAACUUCAGGAAACUGGGGCUAAUACCGGAUAGGAGCUCCUGCUGCAUGGUGGGGUUUGGAAAGUUUCGGCGGUUGGGGAUGGACUCGCGGCUUAUCAGCUUGUUGGUGGGGUAGUGGCUUACCAAGGCUUUGACGGGUAGCCGGCCUGAGGGGGUGACCGGCAACAUGGGGACUGAGAUACGGCCCAGACUCUUAGGGGAGGCAGAAGUGGGGAAUAUGGAAAAAUGGGCGGAAGCCGGAUGAAGCAACGCGGCGUGCGGGAUGACGGCCUUCGGGUUGUAAACCGUUUUCGCAUGUGACGAAGCGUAAGUGACGGUAAUGGGUAAAGAAGCACCGGCUAACUACGUG
rnacentral:rRNA from 1 species